GCUUGUCUCAAAGAUUAAGCCAUGCAUGUCUUAGUGUAAAUAACUCUUAUGAAACUGCGAAUGGCUCAUUAAAUCAGUUAUCAAAUACGUGAUGGUCGCCUACUACAUGGAUAACCGUAGUAAUUCUAGAGCUAAUACAUGCUACACUAAUCCCUUGCUGGCUCGUCCAGUGGGGGUGCAUUUAUUAGAUUCAAACCAUGGUUCGCAGCCUGUACGCACAGCGCAAGUUGUGAAUAUGGUGAGUCAUGAUAACUAAGCGAAUCGGGGGAAAACCGUACCUGCUUCACUGUGGGGGCGGCCCGAUGCUUCAU
rnacentral:rRNA from 1 species